rnacentral:misc_RNA from 1 species
GAUGAAGAACGCAGCGAAAUGCGAUACUUGGUGUGAAUUGCAGAAUCCCGUGAACCAUCGAGUCUUUGAACGCAAGUUGCGCCCGAGGCCUUUGGCUGAGGGCACGUCUGCCUGGGCGUCACGCAUCGCAGCCCCCUCACUCCCACCCUUAGUGGGAUGGGGAGGAAGAUGGUUUCCCGUGCCUCACCGGGCACGGUUGGCCUAAAAUUGGAGCCUAAGGCAUUGGGUUGUCGCGGCAAUAGGUGGUGAACAAGGCCUUGGCCGUGCAAGCAACCAGUCGUGCAGCCCUUUGACAAUCGAAGCUCGUAGGAGACCCAAUGAUGUUGCCUUUUGGUGACACAAACUGUUGCGACCCCAGGUCAGGCGGGGCUACCCGCUGAAUUUAAGCAUAUCAAUAAGCGGAGGA